ensembl:lncRNA
ACAGCCAAGAUUGCUAACCACAGUGCUAGGAAAUGGCCUCAGGCAGAUCUUUCGCGUAAGUGUAGAAAAAGUUCUCCGGGUUCCUCUUAGGGGAGAGACCAUUUUUAUCUGCUGCUCACUGAGAAGCAGAGAGAAAGGAGGCUGCCUAGUUGCCAGGAGGAACAUUGACCUGCCACAGCCUCCUACAUCUGUCCUAGAAGUGAAGUCCAUUUUCUGCUAAAGACAAAAAGAGAAGUGAAUUCCGUAAUCUACAAACCAAUUUCCUUCACUCCCUACUGGUGUUGGUGGCUUUCCUCGCGGGAUAACCCUGACCAUCCUGAGCCUCUGGUCACCCUGCUUCCUUCAAGUCUGAGUUGCACUAGUCCACUGGCCAUUAAGCUUAAGCAAGUGGAUCACGUCCUCUCACUCUAUCCUUCCUAACAACUUCAUAAUGAAGAUUAAUGGGACGUGGCUGGAUAUUCCAUGUCUUGCUGCAAGGGUGUUUACUGAAUUCUAUACUGGAUACUGACUCUGGGAAGCUCUCAAAGAAGCAAUGAAUUACAGAUAGAUUCUGGUUCUGCUGCUUCCUUCUGCCAAGUCCUAGGAAAUAGACAUUAUUCCCUCGUUAUUCAAAUGAGGUAAUUGGAGCACAGAGGUUUGUGAAUCACCCAAGUCACAUAGUUGGUUCCAGAUCUCGCCAUUGGAGCUCUUUCCAUUGGCUCCUGUGUCCUUCAGCAUAUCUCCAUCUGUUUUCCUGGCUGAAUUCAAGCUUCCUUGGUGAGGUGGAGAAUAAGAACAGACACCUUCUAAGGACUGAGUAUCUGUGCCCCUCCCAAAUUCAUGUGUUGAAGCCUCAAUACCAAUGUGAUGGAUUUCAGAGAUGGGGACUUUCGGAAGCAAUUAGGUCGUGAGGGUGGAGCCUUCAUAAUGGCAUUACAGCCCUUUUAUAAGAGACACAAAAGAGCUUGCUGGCUCGCUCUCUCUCUCUCUCUCUGCCGUGUGAGGAUCCAAGGAGAUGGCCAUCUGCAAACCAGGAAGAGGGCUCUCUCGGGAACCUGACCAUGCCGCACCAUCAGCUUGGACUUCCAGCCUCCAGAAUUGUGAGAGAGAAAUUUCUGUGGUUUAAGCCACCCUAUCUAUGGUAUUUGUUAUGGCAGCCUGAGCAGACUAAGGCAAGCCGUAAAGAGGAAAAUAUAAUAAAUUCUCCUGAAUUCUGUAUAACAUUAGCCAUUAAUCUACAUCAAUAUAUGGUGACGAUAUAUAAGUGGAAUGUACAAUGCAUAAAAUAUGCAUAUAUUAAGGUAAAGUAGGUAAUAAUGUUUAUCUUAAAUUACACAGACCCAUUUAGACUCUUUUGGUUUUAUAAUUUGGCUUGUUUUGUUACUAUCUCGAUGAAUUGCUUAUUCAUUUCAAAUUUUAUAACAUGUAUUUCUCCUUUGAGGAAAUGUAGACGAUUGAUAUUGGGAUAGAGCUUAAAUUGUGAGAAAUUACUCAACUGUGGUAAAGGGAAUACAUCAGAAGUAACACUUGGCUCACUAAAUUUUAUUUGAAUUAGGUGUCAAGUAAGCUAAGACGUGCAGGAGACAGCUGAUGGGGUAUGAAUUAAAUUUUAGGUUCUGCUCAUCAUUUGUUAGAAAUGGAAAUCAGUUUUCAAUAGUAUUCUCAUGUAUAAUUAAAACACAGAGCUAUGUAAUGUUUGGUA